UUUAAGGUCGGGCCUGCCCAAUGAAAUUUAAAUGGCCGCAGUAUUUUGACUGUGCAAAGGUAGCAUAAUCAUUAGUUCUUUAAUUGAGAGCUUGUAUGAAAGGUUUGAUGAGAAAUUAACUGUCUCUGUCAAGUUAGUUUAGAAUUUAAUUUUUAAGUCAGAAAGCUUAAAUUUUUUAGAAAGACGAGAAGACCCUAUAGAGUUUUAUUGUUAGGAAUAGGUUUUUGUUUGGGAUAAAUUUUAUGUUUUUAGCAAUUUGGUUGGGGUGAUUGGAAAAUUAGAAAAACUUUUCUUAUUUGUUGAUACUAAUUAGUAUGUGUUUGAUCCUUUAAUUAAGAUUACAAGAAAAAAUUACCUUAGGGAUAACAGCGUAAUUUUUUUUGAAAGUUCUUAUUGAAGAAAAAGUUUGCGACCUCGAUGUUGGAUUAA
rnacentral:rRNA from 1 species